rnacentral:rRNA from 1 species
UACGUAGGGGGCAAGCGUUGUCCGGAAUCAUUGGGCGUAAAGAGCGUGUAGGCGGCCCGAUAAGUCCGCUGUGAAAGUCCAGGGCUCAACCCUGGAAUGCCGGUGGAUACUGUCGGGCUCGAAUCCGGAAGAGGUGAGUGGAAUUCCUGGUGUAGCGGUGAAAUGCGCAGAUAUCAGGAGGAACACCGGUGGCGAAGGCGGUUCUCUGGGCCUUACCUGACGCUGAGGAGCGAAAGCGUGGGGAGCAAACAGG